UGUGAGGGGCAUGAGCAGUCAGGGCAGCUCCCCAGGGUUCAAUGGGCACAAACAUCUCUGCCCCAAUUCAAGUGUCUGCUCUCGUAUUCAUUAGUGGCAUGGUAUGAGUUAGCAACUCCUGAUAUCCAUACAGAAGCUUUAGGCUCUAAGCUUGUGCCAGUAGACAAAAUCGCAUCUUCGAAAACAAAAAUUCUUCUUUCGUGGCUGUAGAGCAGACCUUGGACAUAGCAAGCACAGACUUCGUACCUGCUGAAGUGGGCGCAUGGUCCCCUUGAGUUUGGCUGUGCUCAGUCUUCACCCUGGAAGAGGUUGGUGGUCACACUGCAGGCAUACAUUAAUUUUCUCCAAUCUGCUGCUAGCCCAACCGUUCAAAAAACGCUGAUAUUGUUAAAAAUGUGGGUAAAACACUUCCGUUCUUUUUUGGUAGGCUUCAUUGCUCGGCCAGCUUUCUGCGCUGCUUUCAGAGGUCGGUGCAUUUCUCUUGGUGAUGCGAGGGGAUCACGCUGGGCAACAAGAUCUGCUUGGUGGGGAGAGAGCUCUGUGUGCACCCCGGGGUCCAAGGAAAUGUUACUCAGAUCUUUCUGAAGGGUUUAUCCAUUGGUAAAACCUAACAUCAAAAAACGUCAAGCCUGGAAACAAAACAUCCUGAAUAUCCCAGGUCAGUGAAAUCUGUGGGGGAUGAUGGGAGUUUCUCUUGAACCAGGAGGCUGUGGUGGGACAGUGCUGCUCUUCUCACACCAAGAGCAGCAAGUGCCAGAGAAUCAUUCAGGUUGGAAUAGACAUCCAAGGUCCCCCAGCACAACCCCACCGUGCCCACUGCCCAUGUCUCUCAGUGCCACCUCUCCAGGGACAGUGACCCCACCACUCCCUGUGCCUGUGCCACUGCAUCACCACUCUUUUGGAGAAAGUAUUUUUCCUAAUAUCCAACCUGAGCAAAGACAGUAAGACCCAGGUGUCCUUAACAUGUCUUCUUUGCUCAAAAUCCCUUGGAUAUCUGUGCUGGUAACCACAGCGUAGAUUAUUUUGGGGGAUUCCCAGUGAAAUUCCAAAUGGUCAUUAUUCUCACAGUUAAAAUACAUUGUGGUAAUAAACUUUCAUGAGGUGGCCUCAGCUAAAACCACUGCUGCAGUUCUUCUGUCUGAGCUGACACAUCUGCAAGAAACUCCUGGGGCUGCAUUACACUUUUAAUAGAUGAAUCAGGAGAAAUCGCGGAGUUUGCUCAUGGAUGGGCACGCGGUGCAUGGGUGGUGUGGUGAAGUUGGUGCCCUGCAACUGGCUUGUUCAGCGCAAUAAAAAUAUAUUGGGUUCCCGAGAUGUUGACCAAUGGGUUUGGGAAACAGAUGAUUGAUUCCCACAGCUGAGAAACAGGGAUUGUAAUGUGUUUUGCCAGAGGAGACCAGUUUGAUGGAUGAGUUCAUUUAAGGAUUAUGCUAUAGAUAGAGCUGUUGACAGAAUAAAUUUGUUUUUAUUUUUCAUCAGUAGGUAUAACACAAAGCAGAACUAAUUGGAAGUAGUUUCCUUGUGGCAUCUGGUUGUGUUUCUUGCUUUAAGUCUUUCACACGCUGUAAAAUUACACCGAGAGCUUUUCUUCACUUCGAUUCGCUUCCCAAGUUUUCCAUCGCUGCUUUUCUAAUGGGUUCCCAGUGUGCAGGACACGGUGAGAAACAGCGAAGAGCAAAGCUGGGGGUUUCUUUCUGCCAACUGCACAAAUGUUCUGGUGCACAUCACCCACCUACCUCAGCAGGCACUGCGAGGUGUCCUCACCGCACCGCUGAUGGCAGAGCUGAACCCUGCCUGCCCUUCCAGGUAUUUUUAAUGGCAUUUUAAGCCGUGCCCUGCACUAAAUACCAUUCCCGCAUACGGCCCAAACCUGGGAGGUGGUUGUGUUUACUCGGGGAGGUGCUCUGAGGUUGAGGGAAGGUGUUGAGUUAAGAUCUGGAAAUAGCUUUUCGAGGCGGCCAGAGAACAAACCCCGGUGCUGGUUGGGGGAUUUGGCUGGCUGUGGGCUGCCCGUCACCCCCUGACUCCAGCUGGGUGCCUGCAGGGGGGGUCCCAGCCCCGUGAGCCCCCCGGCUGCUGGUGGUCCUUAUGGGGGCUGCUGGUGUGGAAAUCUGGGGUUUGUGGUUCCAACCAGCCUGGCAAAUGUGAUCUGUGGCUUUGGGCUUGGGAUUUUUGUGUAUUUUUAUGGUUUUUUUUUAAGUUUUUCUUUUCCAGUUGUGGUCAAAUAAGAGUUUUCCAGAACUGACUCACGUAGGGCCAAAGAACAGGAAUGCAGCAAGCACUGCAGAGCCUGCCAAACGAGCAGGCUAGUGGUUGCAAGGGAGAAAAUGUCCCCAGGUUCCUGCUGCUGGGUCCAAUACCUGAGGAGAGAAGUCCAUGUGAUUUCAGGAUUAUGUUUCAAGUUAAAUUCUAGCCUUCGUUUGGCCCCAGACCUGAACUUUAAGUCCUAGCCAAAACAUAAUCCAGAUUUGAAAGCCGGCUAUUGGCCUAUCUUCUGCUCAUCAUGUGUGCAGUCAUUCAACAGAAGCUGAAAUGUGUUUUCUCUGCCAAGAGCCGUUGGUUUCCAAACAACUACAUCAGCGCAGUGAGUGAUGGAGUUUCCAUCAACUGCUGUAGGCCAAAUUCAGUCAUCUGCAUUCAGGCCUUGGCAGGUAUAGAAACUUGGAGUUGUCACCAACUUUUAUAUAAGAUCCUACUUAAUUAUAAUUUUUUGUUCUGAGAUUUGGUUCUGUUAAAGCUUGUGGAAUGGGAGAUGAGUGGGAGCUUUCUUCCUUUUUGCUAGUGAGAUUUUCUGUUCUUUAAUUGACCUUUACAAUAAUUUAGUCUAAGCUUGGAUCUGGGUUAAAUAUAGCUGGUUAUUUUCACCCCGAGCAUGUAAUACACGAAAGAACCUAGGUAUCCUUUGAAUGUGUUUUGACAAGCACUAUGUCUGUGUGCAGGUAUGUAUUUAUAAACAUUUGCGCUGGGUGCACUAAAAUGCCACUUCCAAAACCAAGAACUUUCUCUCCUGCAGCAAAAUAUUUGUGCAGAAUGGAGUGUUAGGUGUCCAAAACCUGGGAAGUCCAAAGAGAGAAAGGCACUUCUUGGAAAGAAGCUACAGAGGAGGGGACCUGGGCUGAGCUCUCAGUGGCUGCGAAGUGAAUACGGGGCCACUAUUCACUCUGUCAUGUUAUAAAAGCACACGUAGAUGAUGCCUGAAGGCAUUGCCCAACAGCAAGCUUAAAGCAAGCAAGAGGAAGGCCUUUCCCAUCAGGCCCAGGGCACUGCAGAGCACCUUGCUGCUGAAUGUUGUGGUGCCUAAAGCUUUCGAAGGGCAGGACUAACUAAACUCACCAGGAACAGAACAAGCAGCGCCUGUUCCCUCCUUCCAGAAGUGCAGAUCCCAAUGUCUACCUUCAUGUGACUAAGAUCCCAAAAGCUUCCUGCCAAACCAGUGUAAGGAGGACUCAUGAAUACCAGUUGCCAGCAAAGCCAAGCCUCGGCAUUUUGAAUGCAUUGACUAAAGCAGUGCCAUGAGUUCUGGGGACAGACUUGCAGCCUAGGUGAGGUCCUCGCUCCAGUGAUGCUCACUGUCCUGCAGGUCGCACUGUUGGAGAGUUUGUUGGAGCAGAUACUGCUUCUGACAGCACUGCAUGCAGAUAUGUACCUUGGUGGUGUUAAAAUGGGGGGACUAGAGCUUGGCAGGGAGACUGAGAUAUUAUUGCCAGUUCAGCAGACUGGGUGCUAUAAUAAAACCUGAGAUUAGCUGGUGAGACGCUAGACAUGGUCAUGCUCGUACAAUCCUGUAGUUUGUAGGAAUAGAGCCAGAUUCCUGUAAGAGAGUGAGUCCACUGCUGGUACUCACCACUUCUGGUGGCUUUGGAGACACCAGGAAACCACCUGGGCAGCAGCAUGUCAAUGCUCAGGGCAUAUUUGCAUGCUGUGUGAAGGUAAUUAUUUGGAACCAGGUCUUCACUUGAGACCCCCCCCCUGGGGGAAAGAAUUACCACCACCAGCAACAAAACACCCCGCACUAAAACCCAUUGAGCCUAAUCCACAAGAUGAAAAACUGCCUGAGGGAACUCUGUGAGUGCCACACGGUGGGUGAAUCUUCUGCUGCUGGAAGAGCAGCUUGGUUUGUGUGAGUGGUGCAGGGCCAGGGCUGAGGGCUUUCUCACUCCUGUAGGAACCAGCACAGGGUAGGGGAGAUGCCUGCUCAGGGAGCAGCUCCUCGUGGGCUGCCCUGCCACCUUCUUGAGAAGGAGCAGCUAGGAAAGAUCUUGAGACUGUGAGCAGAAUCAGGCUGAAGGGAACUUUGCAUUCCCACAUUCCUCUCUCUGCCUUUCAUGGCUCAGAUAUCCAGCUUCAUCUCCUGCUUGGUUCUGGAGCGAGGCCCCGUCUUCGCUUGUUCGAGGGGAGUGCCCAAAGCGAUGGCCUCUCUGCGGAGCGCCAGGACUUCCACUGCUCUCACCCUUCCUAUGCCAGCAGGGUGACACACUGCAAGAAUAACAUCACUCGUCUCCAGAAGCCACCACAGCAGCGAGGGAAGGCGGGUGUAGGGCGCGAAUCCUUCGGGAGGGAAUGAGAUGGAAGGAUCAGAUCCAAACGACCUGUUCUCAGGCAGUAAAACAUGACCUCUGCUCAUUUCGUCUGACAGCCUAUGAUCAGGGAUGUCAAAUUCCCUCCUCCUAUAACUGCUGCCACCGCUUUUCAUGGGGUGGAAAGCCCCAUUAGCUCAGGUUCACCAGUGCCAUUUGGCAGCUGUGAUGAUUUACAGCAGAAAAGACUCAUUGUCUACAACUGUCAAGGCAGGUUCUCCGACUUCAUUUGAAAUAGUUUUACUCCCGCAGUUGAUUUAUCGCUCAAGAAUGAGGCAGUCACUUUAUCUCUCUUUUCUUCCCCGUUUGCCCGUGACAGCCUGGACCCCAGCACCAGAGCCGUGACGUCAAGAGGAUGAGAUGAAAGCCACCCCAUUUUUCACGAGCCCUCACGGGCAGCUUGUAAGCAGAUGACUGCGUGGCCAAUCGCUGUGUCCAUGUUGCUGGCACCUCCAGCAUUUUAUGUGGUGUCUGAACCUCAGCAGGCACCUCACGCCUGCUAAUGGCUUUGCUAGUCAGCCGAUCAAUUGGUUAUUUACGGCAGGCGUGUCUCAAAUCUGCCAGGUCAAGUUUUCCUACCCUGACGUAUUUUGUUCAGAGGAGCACAUAAAUCCUAACCUGCCAUUUGCAGCUUCAGCCUUCGGAGUGUGAAACCAGCGGGUUAAAGUUUCCAGUGAUAGUAGCAAACGGUGUUUUAAAGAGUCGUCCUCCUGACUCUUAGGGACUUGGGCACUUAGGCUGAGUCAUGAGUCAGGUGGUCUUGAAGGAUUUAUGGGCAUGAAGCUCUCUUUUUGGUAGCGUUUAGCCCUGAAGUUUGAAGUCAUAAACGUGGAAAUUGAGACCUCUCCACUGAUCCAGUAUUUUUCUAUUUAAGGUGUUCUGAAAAUAGAGUAGCAAUAUCUUCAUUGGGUACUCUGAAGUGAGCAGCAAGAAGAGGUGCAGAAGGCCAUUACUUGAAGAGUUUGGUCCUGCAGCUCCAAACUUCAUAAGCCCAUGCGUGGGAGGAUGAAGCACUUGUGUAAAGAGAGCUCUGGAUCUCAUUAUCAAGCCUGUAAUGCUCCAGUUAUUUGCAGCUGCAUAUGCCUGGGUGCUACAGGAAUACAAUUUGAAGUUAACCAGAAGACUUUCCAGUCUUGAAGUUUUGAAUGCGAACCACCAAGGAGCAGCUGUGGAUAGAGGCACCCACUCUGCACUAAGGGCACUGCAGUCAAUGAUGAGGCAUGGAGCAGUUCCUGGGCACACCAUCUAGCUCUCAGAGGUGCGUGGACCUGCUGAGCAGCGAUGGGCCUGUUGUAAAGCAUGACCUGGGUGACAACAGCCCUGUAGUUGCCACAUGAUGGACUUGCAUGCAUUCAUUUUGAUCUGUGCUCUGGAAAUGACGAAGGUCUGCAUUCUUCAUGGCAUUGAGAAGGACUUCUGCAGGCAAGAGGAAUGAUCACCACUGCAGGUGACUCAGUAUUUGCGAGGUAUCGUGGCGUUCUCCUGUUUACAAAUGGCGACCACUUAAACUCGGACAGUUUUUAAGGCACGGGCAUUUGAGAGCACACACCGAAACCAAUGGGAAAAUACAAACACUGGAGUGUUAACCCUUGAGUGGCCUCUGAAACAGCCGCACAGGGAACGCGGAGCUUGAAAAACUUCUUUCUGUGGCACUUCUGUGGGUGGUUUGAUGAGUAUUUGCAAAGAGUGGUGAUGCACGGACGCGUGCACACAUUUAGAGCUCUGUAGUCACGGCAGGCACCUGGGCAGGUGCUGGCAAACGGAGGCUCCUUGGCUGUGAUGUUUUGUUAUCAGCUCCACGGCCGUGCGGGGAACGGCACCGUGUGUGGUGGAAGAUUUGAAAAUGAUUUUCAUCAGCCUGAUUAAAUACUUAUUACGUGAGUCAGCCAUACGGGCUUCAUUAAGCCGGUGAACUCGGAGGAGCCUCCUCAUCUGUUGAUGAAAGCCAUCUGGAACCACGGGUCGCUCAGAAGAAAUAGGAUGGAUGUAGCGCAGUGUGACAGAAGCUGAGCUCCCCUGGCAGAAGCUUCACGAACCCAACGUGCUCUCCUCUUUCUGUGCAUUUCUGGGCAAAGAAUCAAGGCCUGACAUGACUUAGGCAGCAGGACUUGAAACGCGCCCUGUCGGGAUGUGACGCAGGCACCUUUUUCUGGUGGCAGGAUGUAACACAGCUUUAAAAAUACAGGCGUGAGCUUGUGCACGGGAGGGAAGUGCACCUUGAAAGGAAAAGCUUAAUGAACUUUAACCGGCCUUUCAAGAUCUUUAUUAGUUGCCCCUUUAUCAAAUUAAAUUCACACUGUGCUAGGCAGCUUAAGUGCUGCAAGCUGAUGUCGUGUGCUAAGUGCCAAAGCAGGCUUUAAUUGGCUGUUUAAAGGAGGAGGGGGGUCCCGCUGUGCAGCACGUGCACGUGUGCACUCACAGGGAGCAGGGCAGCCCCGAAGGAGCCUGGUGCACAUCCCCAUAGCAUCACAGGGUGCCCUGAAUUGGGACGGACCCUCAGGGGUCAUUGAGUCAAACCACCCAGGACUGCCUGAACUUCAUGUUUCUGAGAACUCUCCCUGAGCUCUGGCACUUGGGGCCAUGCCCACUGCCCUGGGCAGCCUGUUCCAUGCCCACCACCCUCCAGGGCAGAGCAUCUCACAUUUGGGGUGGGGUGCUCGCUCCAAAAUGUCACCCGUGGAGGUAGCCAGAGGUGGCUGCUCCAGGGCAGCUUCCCCGAGCGAGGCUGGGGAGCCUGCUGGUGAACCAGGCAGGGCUCUCAUCAGGAUUUUCUGUAUUGGUCACAGCUCGGUUUCACAGAUCACAAAUUAGUCACAGAUGUCAGCACGAGUAUCCAGAGCAGUAAAGGUCAGGCGAAGACGAGCAGGUCGCUUGUCCUCCAGGAGAAUUUUGAUCUUAAAAAUGCACUCCAGGGGCACCAGCAGAGACUGUAGAGUGGAGAUGACGGAGCUCUGCCGAUAGCAUGGGGAGCCCUCCUGGGCAGGCGGGGGCAAAUCCCACCAGGAUGGCCCGGAUGGGACCACGCAGAGCAGCUGCCCACACGGCGAGCCGCUCUGACCCUGCCAAAAAGGAAUGGAGAUUGAAUCACAGCAGUGUUUCUCACUCCUGCAGCGUAAUGAGGGUGAGAACGGUGCUGGAACUUGCUAAAUUUGAACAGUUGUUUUCUGUUAACACACGACCUUAAAAAACACGAUUUGAGAAGCUUGUUAGGGAGCGAAUGUUAACAUCUCAUCCCAGUGCAAUUGAGUCCAUCUGGGCUGCAAGUUGCCCGCUCUUUGUGUGGCGGCAUCCUCCCAACCUGCUCCUCUUCCUCACAUCAUGCUCAGCUUUAAAUCCACCUGGCCUGGGGAAAAGGGUCCAGAAAUCAGUGCUCUGAAGGCUGGGCAGCGAGCCCUCAGCCUGUCCUCCACAAGGCCCUGUGUUAGGGGGGCAAUGGCUUUUGAGCAUCUCUCUGCUCCCAGGACACAUUGGUGGGGCUGGGAGAGUUUUGCAGUGUGCCAGCAGCACCAUGGACCACAAAACCUUUUUUUUUUUCCCAUCUUCAUUAUGAAAGCAAGAAGUAUUUGUCCUCUGCCAAAAAGCCUUGAGGCAGAUCUGCCACAGAAUCAUUAAGGUUGGAAAAGACCUCUUAGAUCAUCUAGUCUAGCCAUCAACCUACCACCAGCAUUGCCUGCUUCCUCUCCCUCUCUCUUCACCUUCCCUUGCUUCCAGCACCAGCCCUUCCCUGCUUGCCUCCCAGCUCCUUCCCUAAUCCCUUCCCUCUCUUACCUUCUCCCUGCCUCCUCUCCCUCCUCUGGGGGCUGCCUGUCUCCUCUCUGCACCUCGCAGUUGAUUUUAUCUGCCCCCAGAGGAUGGUUUUCAUGUGGCACCAGGCAGCACAGAGGCAUGGAGGCUUCCGGCCCGCGCACCAACCCACGUUCCGACAUUAAAGAUAACGGAUACAAUGGGAAAUCAGUGGAGAAUAUGUAACUUUAUCCCAUUCAUAGCUUCAUAUUGCGUUACACUGUGGCCUUCGGGUGCAUAAAAGUGAUAUAUGGCUGACCUUGGCAGAAAAAGAGAACAGGGGAAACAAAUAUCUUCGGUAAGGAUCACAAACUACGUAUAACCAAA